AGGGCAAAGGGCGAGGUCCAACGGCCCAGCCCCAGCAGGGGACUCUCGAGCUUCGGGAUUCCGCCUACCCGGUAGCGGCUGUUUAGACCCAGACCGGCCCCUGCGCGAUAUGAGCACCGCUCAGGACUGCAGCUGUUGGGCACCAGCAGCCAGGCCACCACCUCCUUCAUGCUCCUCUGUGAUCACCUCUCCAAGUCCCGGUGUCAGGAGCCUUCUCUGUGGCCGCCCUGGAGAGACUUGAGCCUGGGACGUGACGUGCUGGGCUGUGAAGCUUUCUGAGAAGGGAAACCUGUGGCCUGACCUGCCUGAAUGCUGCACCCAACCUCAUCUCUUCCUGGGAGGCAGGCUCUCUUCGCUUGUUUUUACAAAUUUGAAACCAACAACUGUCAGCAUUGACACCAUCAGGCCUUUCUCUUCUAAUUUAACCUUGCAGCCAACCACACGGCUAUCUGUGCGGGAUCUCUCCCCAAGCUCAAGGACAUGAGAUGCGGAUCAGGCCCAAGAGGCUGGAUGCCAAACCUAUCCUCUCCAUGUGAAGCACCAACUUGGGGGUGUCAACUAAAAAUAUGAGACCCGUAAACUUGGAAAGGAAGACUUUAUUUCUUGAGAAGGGUUGCAAACUGCAGGCUGGGAAGUGGCACCUCCAGCUGAGACCACAAACAGUGGACUUUCUCAAACUGGGGUAUUGACCUCUGAUGAACCGCCAUGCAAACCCGUGCCUUUCAACAUAAAAAGAAGCCCUUCGAGGUGCUCACCUUCAAGCUUGCUAGAGGAGGAGGAAGAGCAGGUUGAGUUUGACAUAACUAGAAUGGGUUGAGCCUUUCCAGCAGAGUAAGGUUCUUUCAUGGUGGACAGUGGCCACCCACUGCCAUUUCUACAAGAAGAUUUUGCUUCUUAGGCACUGAGUUCCUGGUUCUUUCACUAGAGAAAAAUGAGUAGGUUGGCAAUCCAGUACUUCCAUCUUCUGUGAAGACCUGGGCAGGCAACGGGGGCUUGGGGGCGGGGGCAGGGACCAAAGACAAGGCUGCCAUUUGCUGUGCCCACCACAGAGGGACAUUUACUCCACCUGAAGCACAAGUAUUUUCUCAGUGAUGUUGGCUCCUACAAAGUCAAAAGGGGUAGGCUCCCUGGCUUACGCUCCAGGAGUUUGGACUGAAAGGGACACUAAAAGUGUCUUCCUCUAAGUUUAUGAUGUUGCCCUCCUCUGGCUACAACAGUGCUCUGGCCAUAAGCAUCCCAGGUUCUCUGAAUGAUGGUGGGUAUGGAAAUGUUCCCAAACACAGGUAUGGCGGUGUCCCCUCCCACUGUACCAAUCUAUGCCCAGGGCUGGAAGGUCCGUGGUGCUCUGAACUGGAUUCAUAAACAGUAGCAUCUCCA
rnacentral:lncRNA from 1 species